AGCUGCAAGGAAUGCAAAUCAUUUCUGUUCGCCAACAUGGAGAAAUCAAAGAAAAUAAAACUUUUCAGACGCAGAAAUAGAACCUUUGAUCACCAAAGUGGAAGCAAAACAAGCCAUACUUUUUAGAGCACUCCGCAAUGGCUUGACAAAUAAGAUAAAAAAUAUUGCUUGGGAGCAGGUUAGUGCUGUGGUAAAUAACAUCUGAAGUUCUUCAAAGGUUUCUGGACUCUGUCAUAUCUUCCUGCUGAGCGAGCUGGAAAUUCUUGGCCACGUUCCCAGCAGCGCAAGGUCAUGGCUAAAAGGGAUCCCGCUUUUGUCAAAUUAACUUCAAAAGUACAUUUUCGCAUUUUACCAAACCCUUUUCCUAACCUUAACCUAAAAGUCUCAUAACCUGCUACGUUAAUUAUUCUAACCUGCUACGAAAAGUCAAAUCGGACUUUAAUUUGACAAAAGCUGGAUCCCUUCUAGCCAUGACCGCACCGCAGCCUCCUGGGGCUGAUUUAGCUAAUGUUCCCACCCAGGAAUCCAGGACUUCUGACAGCAACCAGGCCAGACUCUCUUUCAAGGCCACACUCCGUCAGCCUCUCCCGGGCUGUGGCCCAGAGUCUGCCCCCGAGGCCAGCCAGGAACCUCUCCCUCAAAAGGCUGUCUCCCAUCUUCCUGGAGCUCCCAGAGAAACAGCCACUCUAUUAAAUGACAAUUACUCAAAACUAAGCCUGCCACACCCCAUUUUCUUUCUCUCCCUCCCUGACCUCUCUCUCCCCCCAUGGUCACCCCUAACAUUUCACACAACAGAACUCUUUCUCAUGUUAGUCUGGAAGCAGUUAAAACCAUGCUGUUAGAUGUGAAGGCCAAGGUUAAAUGGAGAAAGUAUAAUGGCAACAUUUGAAUAGAGCUUUAUCAUGUUGAAACAAGUAUUUUUUUAGACUUUGUUAGAGCAUGUUUGGAUUAAAUAUCAGUUUUCAAUUACA